rnacentral:misc_RNA from 1 species
GGCAGGAUCAACCAGGUAGCAUUCCUCAGGGACGUCGAGUCGCAAGAUGAAAAACAUCCGUGUGACAUCGACAGUCGAUCGAAUGGGCAUGUAAUGCCAAUUUGUGGGCAAAUAGAGGGUUGCACGACCCUUACCCGCAGUGUUUUCUGAAUCCCCGACAUCAAGCUACGCUCGUGGGUCGAGACCGCAUAGCAAUUCGUAUGCAAUUCGAAACACGAAUUUCGCUUUAAGGUUUUCCCGAUGCCGUACCGUGUAAGCGGGCAGCCGUGGGAAAGCUUGGUAUAGAUUGCCUAAAAAUUCCAUCAAUGUAGGUAUACAGCACAGGAAACCGACGACUUGGCCAAGGCAAAAGAUGCUCUUGUGCCAGUAAUUGAAGAGGAAUGCACGAGAGGACGUCGCUACCCGAGUAGGGAUCCAA